rnacentral:ncRNA from 1 species
UUAUGUGAUCGCGGGAGCUCCGAGCACGGGGCUGAGAGGGCGCUGAACGAGCUGCGCCGACCGCCGAACCUGGUACCGGGUAAUGCCGGCGUAGGGAGUUGGGUCGUCAUGACC